UGGAUGGUUUAUUUGAAACUUUGAUGAGAAGGAUUAUGUGACCCCCACUGUCACCUUUCUGA
rnacentral:tRNA from 1 species